UAGGGAAUCUUCCACAAUGGACGAAAGUCUGAUGGAGCAACGCCGCGUGAGUGAAGAAGGGUUUCGGCUCGUAAAACUCUGUUGUUAAAGAAGAACAGAUCUGAGAGUAACUGUUCAGGUAUUGACGGUAUUUAACCAGAAAGCCACGGCUAACUACGCGCCAG
rnacentral:rRNA from 1 species